AUGCACCCUAGAUGUCCUAUAUGUUAUCUUGGAGAAAGUCUUCAAGAAUGCCUGUGCCUGGAUUUAAACCUAACCUUGGACCCUUGCUAGCUGUGUGACCAUGGGGACCUUACAUUCUAAUGGCAGAAGACAACACAGGAAAGGGAGCUAGAAAAGAAGGAGGAGAGAAGAUACCCACAUAGAAGCAUGGAGACUCCCAAACAGAUCUGGGAGCAGAAGAAAGCAUGGCCACAUGAGAUCCUUCCACAAAAUGCAGCCCUCGAGAGCAAGUCACCACUGGGACAAAUGGGCCUCAAGAGUGCAGGAUGUUUCAAGGUUAUCUCAAGGGAACUCUUUUUUCCUAUGCUAUUACAGCAAGUGUUUUGACUAGAAUAAAACACUCCAGUGUCCCAGAGAGCAGCAGCAUUAGGCGCCCAUCCUUCCUUUCUUCAAACAGUCUCUUAUUCCACAGUCUCUGAACCAUUUGAU